UACGUAGGGGGCGAGCGUUGUCCGGAAUUACUGGGCGUAAAGAGCUCGUAGGUGGUUUGUCGCGUUGUUCGUGAAAACUCACAACUCAAUUGUGGGCGUGCGGGCGAUACGGGCAGACUGGAGUACUGCAGGGGAGACUGGAAUUCCUGGUGUAGCGGUGGAAUGCGCAGAUAUCAGGAGGAACACCGGUGGCGAAGGCGGGUCUCUGGGCAGUAACUGACGCUGAGGAGCGAAAGCGUGGGGAGCGAACAGG
rnacentral:rRNA from 1 species